rnacentral:rRNA from 3 species
UUAAAUUGAAGAGUUUGAUCAUGGCUCAGAUUGAACGCUGGCGGCAGGCCUAACACAUGCAAGUCGAACGGUAACAGGAAGCAGCUUGCUGCUUCGCUGACGAGUGGCGGACGGGUGAGUAAUGUCUGGGAAACUGCCUGAUGGAGGGGGAUAACUACUGGAAACGGUGGCUAAUACCGCAUAACGUCGCAAGACCAAAGAGGGGGACCUUCGGGCCUCUUGCCAUCAGAUGUGCCCAGAUGGGAUUAGCUUGUUGGUGAGGUAACGGCUCACCAAGGCGACGAUCCCUAGCUGGUCUGAGAGGAUGACCAGCCACACUGGAACUGAGACACGGUCCAGACUCCUACGGGAGGCAGCAGUGGGGAAUAUUGCACAAUGGGCGCAAGCCUGAUGCAGCCAUGCCGCGUGUAUGAAGAAGGCCUUCGGGUUGUAAAGUACUUUCAGCGGGGAGGAAGGUGUUGUGGUUAAUAACCGCAGCAAUUGACGUUACCCGCAGAAGAAGCACCGGCUAACUCCGUGCCAGCAGCCGCGGUAAUACGGAGGGUGCAAGCGUUAAUCGGAAUUACUGGGCGUAAAGCGCACGCAGGCGGUCUGUCAAGUCGGAUGUGAAAUCCCCGGGCUCAACCUGGGAACUGCAUUCGAAACUGGCAGGCUUGAGUCUUGUAGAGGGGGGUAGAAUUCCAGGUGUAGCGGUGAAAUGCGUAGAGAUCUGGAGGAAUACCGGUGGCGAAGGCGGCCCCCUGGACAAAGACUGACGCUCAGGUGCGAAAGCGUGGGGAGCAAACAGGAUUAGAUACCCUGGUAGUCCACGCCGUAAACGAUGUCUACUUGGAGGUUGUGCCCUUGAGGCGUGGCUUCCGGAGCUAACGCGUUAAGUAGACCGCCUGGGGAGUACGGCCGCAAGGUUAAAACUCAAAUGAAUUGACGGGGGCCCGCACAAGCGGUGGAGCAUGUGGUUUAAUUCGAUGCAACGCGAAGAACCUUACCUGGUCUUGACAUCCACGGAAGUUUUCAGAGAUGAGAAUGUGCCUUCGGGAACCGUGAGACAGGUGCUGCAUGGCUGUCGUCAGCUCGUGUUGUGAAAUGUUGGGUUAAGUCCCGCAACGAGCGCAACCCUUAUCCUUUGUUGCCAGCGGUUAGGCCGGGAACUCAAAGGAGACUGCCAGUGAUAAACUGGAGGAAGGUGGGGAUGACGUCAAGUCAUCAUGGCCCUUACGACCAGGGCUACACACGUGCUACAAUGGCGCAUACAAAGAGAAGCGACCUCGCGAGAGCAAGCGGACCUCAUAAAGUGCGUCGUAGUCCGGAUUGGAGUCUGCAACUCGACUCCAUGAAGUCGGAAUCGCUAGUAAUCGUGGAUCAGAAUGCCACGGUGAAUACGUUCCCGGGCCUUGUACACACCGCCCGUCACACCAUGGGAGUGGGUUGCAAAAGAAGUAGGUAGCUUAACCUUCGGGAGGGCGCUUACCACUUUGUGAUUCAUGACUGGGGUGAAGUCGUAACAAGGUAACCGUAGGGGAACCUGCGGUUGGAUCACCUCCUUACCUGAAAGAAGC